CUGAAGUCGAAACCUAAGUCGAAGUUCAAGCUAAAGAAGGUGCCUAAGUUGAAGCUUAAGUCGAUGCCAAAGCCGGUCUGGAAUAGGGAACACCAAUUGAAAGAGCUGCCUUCCCUUACUAAUGUGGGAUCAGUUCCUCUCGAACACCUCCUAGGAGCGUCGCAUUCGAUGCAUCUAGGGUUUUAUUUUAGAGAGGCGCCUUGCGUGUGUGCUAUCUAAACUGAGGUUUUUCCUACCUAGCUCAAUAAUGGAGAGAAUGCCCUUACGGGGUUAUUUCCGUUUAGUCUAAUCCUAUUCUCAUGUGCAAAGGCUUAUCGAUCCCUUUUGAGUCAAAUGUGGCAUUGCACUGACCUGUGCAUAUUCACUCAACCCAAGGCAGGAGAUGACUUUGAUUACCCGUUCCGCACCUGGAUGACUGAAUUUCAUGCUUCAAAGUAGAGUUGAAACCCUAGCACCGAACCCUAGAAGUGAACUAGUAGAAUUAAAAAUAGGCUAAUGAAUCCGCUGCACACUUUCUAUAUCUGUACCUCAUGCCCCCAAUCAUUCGACUGAUAGUAAUAAUGUUAUUAUUAUGCAUAACUAAUAUAGACCUUAUGAAAUAUAUUGACAAAUUUAUGUUAUUAUUAUACAUAAAUAGUGAAGGUAGUCGAUGAGAGGAAUAGGUGGUUUCCAAAGGAGAGAGUUAUUUUAUAUAUGACGCUCUAUCUGUAUUGGAUGGAUGCCGUAGCUGUGGGAUAGAAGGCUUUUCUUUCAAGUCUUCUUUUCUUUGAUCGCCUAAGUCACUACUAACCAUAUCAGCGGAUAUCCUUCAUAGCUCCUUCCUUGCCCCUUUCUACAAACCUUUCUAUAAUAUAAGGGAAGCUCGAAGAGCUUUCUUCGCAUGCUUGAGCCCAUUAAUAAAAUAUUAAUAUCAUAUCGAUCAAGGCUUUCCUUUAGUUUAAUUGCAGCUAGUAAAGUGCCAAACCUUCUACUCAGAAAGUGAGGGACAAGUCACAUCGUUACAGUUUAUAAUUCACUUUCCCUGGAAAAAGGCAUUAGCCCCGCCCAGAAUGAAGCAGCGAACUUGCUUAUCUCAUGUCAGCCCGGGCAGAAAAACAACUUGCUUGACACUAAUACACAAGAGUCGAGGCAGAUGGUAAUUGAAAAAGUGUUUAUAUUGGUGGAUUGUAUAGCAUUACAGACUUGGUUACGCUGUUAGGGUUAGAGAGCAAUGCCACACUUAGGGAUACCUUACAUUUUAAUGGGAUAGUAGUUCCAGCAGGUAAAAAACCAGGAUAAAUUUAAACUUUGCAAGGAACAUUUCAAUAGUUACAACUGAAAGAGAAUCUGAAGCAGGAUCGGAAACAGAAUAAGAUUGAAGAGCGGGGUAAAACCAUUCUCAGAAGGAGCAGGUUUAGCGGAUGGGAAUGGCAUUUUUGAGAAUGCAGUCAAGGCUGAAGGAGCGAAAGAAGCUAACUCGAAUGAAGAAUCUUUCCGAGGAGUGACCCAAAGUAGAAGUUAGAGAAGGAAUUGAUCCUUUCCUGAAGGAUAUAGGACUUAGGACACAAACUAAAUGAUCGUAGUUCACCACACAGGCAUGUUAGUACUAAACUGCAGAAAACUAUUAAGUCAUCCAAUUCAUGCCGCAUUGCGAGAUUACUCUACCACUCUAGAAUUUUUUCUAUUAAGAGAAAAAAAGGAGUGAAAGGCAGGCGAAGGUUGAGUGUUUGGAUCUGAGAAGGAAUCAAUCUGUGUCAGUUAUCUCUUUUUCGCCUGUUCUGGCUAACCCCAUUCCAGUCUAUUAGGCAAGGUCUGUUCAAUUGAGCUUCUAUUAGUCAUUUUAGACAGCUCGGCAAGCAGCUGAACUCUUUUCCUCUUUCUUUUGCUUUGGAUAGAUCUCAAGGGCAAAGUACUCAUUUCGGGCAUGACUCGGAAUAUGAAUAGGGGGCAGGCACUUCAGUCCAGUGCUAUGGGUUCCUCAUUUCCCUAUGGUUGAGCGGUUUGGUUGGCCUGUGAUGAAGAAGAACUUAGAUGAUGACAAUGGAGCUAAAAGAUUUUCGUCUCCAACUCUAAUAAAAAAGACAUUCUCCACGAUAUACUUACCCUUACCUUAAUGUCAAGGCUGACUGAAUUUCAUGCUUUUAAGGCAACCUCGAUUGGAAUUAGGCUUGAACCAGAGGAUCACUGAAACUACCUUUCUAUAUUUACCCAAUUCGAUCCACAAGCUGAAUGCCGUACCUUCCAGAGAGGAGGAUCUGCCAUUGAACUGUUCAAAACCUUUAUUGAAGAAAGAGACUAAGAAAGAGUACAGGACCAAGACCGGAAAGUCACGCUUUGAUCUCCUUUAGCAAGGAAAAAGCUUUCAAACGCGUAUUCGCUGUUGCGAGCCGACUAAACAAGUGGAUUUGAUUCCUUUGCCUUCUGCCUUCCUGCUGACCUAAUACCCAUCAACUAUUAUCCACUGCCGCUUCUUCUUCUCCUCCGAUCAAGACCGAAAGAAGGUUCUUGUAUAGAAGGGUCUGGGCCCUAGUCGCUAGCUCUAUCCCACCCGGCUUGGUCCAUUUGAUCAGUGAGUCUCGCUCUUCGAUCAAAGGAAAUUUUGUCUUGCAUGAAAGAAGGAUCGGGUUAGUGAUCCAAGAUCAUGUCAAGGCUCUUGAGCGUCGCCGGCUUCCACUUUGCUUUGUGAUUAUUGGGGUGCUAUAGUGUCUUUGCCUCCUCUACUGAGAGAAAGUUGUGGGUAGGACCCCUGUUUACGAUGGCCGAGUCUUCUUCCCAUUGAUUCCCACUUUAACGUGGAUGAGCCCCUUUCUCACCGACUUGGGUUUAGAUUUGUUUGGCCAUGGCAUUGAUCAACUGUCUAGAUCUCCCAAUGUGACUCCCUUCCACCGGGCCACUUUGCGGCCUUCGGGGCCUUAACAUCACUCUGAAGUUCCCACCUUUUGUCUUAACCCUAUUAUAGAAGGCCCUAUGAAGUAAAGGGAAGUGCAUUAAUUCUUGGAAAAAGAGGGAGCGAACCUAUAUAAAAAAUGUAAUAAAGUCAAUUCAAUGAAUAGAUAGAGCCAACGGUACAACAAAAAGCGCUGCCUAAACGCGAUUUCGCUUCCAAUAGGGAUAGGCAAAUUAGACUGAUUUAGUGAAGUAUGCCAUGCCAUCAGUAGCAAAGUAGGCAGUUCUCGAAUCAUCUGUGGCACUUGCUCUUAGCCUUGAUCUUUUUCUUUUUUUUUAAUCUGCCUAUUGUUUCAUCAGAUGUGAUUGGAAUGCUUUCCUUGGUUUCAAAGGCUAAAAAAAGCGAGAUGCUUCCAAAAAAUACAGUUUAAUUUCAUUGUUUUCAUCAAGGUCCGUUGUUGUGACUGGAAGAAUUGAUUCAGAAUCGGAUGCCCUAUCUUCCUUCCCCUUCUUCUGAGUGAGGACAUAUCCUAAUGAAUUAGACGACCUCGGAAGGAACCAUUAGAGGAGAAGGGUGGUCGUAGAUCAGGUGAGGAAGGUUAUUGGCCCAAUAUGAAGGAAGACAUUAAAGAUUAUGUGAGUACCUGUUUUACCUGCCUGCAGGACAAGACUGAGAGAUCUCAUCCUGCAGGUCUACUCGAGCCUCUACCAAUCCUGGAGCGACCGUGGGAAAGUCUUUCUGCAGUUCAUAAAUAAUACCACAAUGAAAUAUGAUCGCUUUAAUAUAUUAUCUACUUAUUGCUCUAUUUCAAAAUAAUACCACGUGCAGUUCAAUAUUUAUGUGAGAACUUUUUUAUUUGUUUACAGAUUCUGCCCGUCGAAUAUUUACUCGCAAGAAGAAAGGUACGCAGUCACUCAUGCGAACUUCCAUGUUUACUAUUAAAAAUAAGAUUGAUCCUAAUCAAAUUAGAUCUUCCCUAAAGGAAGCUUGCAAGCAAGGCCUUUCUGUCACUUUUAAGAGUAGUGAGCGAGCUAAAGCCAAGUAGAAUAGUUGGCGUCAAAAGCGGCCUCGGAGCGCAGUCUUAAGGUUGUAGUUGUUGAACGCGCAACCAGAUAGGAUGAAGAUGGUGGGAUGAAACAGUCUUUAAAAAACCAUUGGUAAGGGAAGGCAAAGAAGUAACUGAGGGAAGGGACCUUUACCAUUUUGCUUCUUCCGCUUUUGGGGAUUCCACUAAUAGAACAGAACCCGAGGGGAAUGAAAGGAGUGACCUUCACUCGGAUUAGGGGUUAACCACCUCCUACGGUGGUUGCCAAAGCUCCGAGUCAACCCGAAAUAGGCCAUGGACUUUGAUCUACCAAAUGAUAAGAAUGCCUCUAAGAUUCAAUCAUAAACCACUUUGCCUCGGUUGUAUGUAAACCCCCCUUCACCCCCAUCCCCUAAAGUGGUAAAGAAGGGUUAGGGUCUAAUUUUCUUUCUAUCUGACAGGACAAAGAAAUAGGGAAGGGAUGGUUCUUUCUUUUAAACUAUUUAUGGGUCUACCUAGGAUACGAUACUGGUUGUCGGGUAAGGCUUUCGAACAGGCAACAGGCUUACAGCAGGAAUGAAUAAGUGAGACCAUACGCGAACGGCUGAGCUCAGUCUUCCCUGUAAGAAAAGUAGCGGUCGUGCUAGAGACGGUCUAUUGUGUUUUUCUUGACUCAUCAUUGAUAUUUUGGAAAAGCAAGAAAGAAGAAAGGGGAGCUUAAAGCGGACCAUUUACCCUGCCCUAAGUGCCUUUCUUUCUUCUGGUUCUGUCUGUAAACAGUGUCUUCAUGAACAGUAGAUUCAUCUUUUAGACUUGCUCCCGUAAGCGAUGCAAGAGUAAGCGCUGGUACAUUAACAGCUCUUGGUCUUAGCUCCCUAAAUGUUGUUGAGGAAGCAUCCAAUCCAUUUCCAAUUCACAUGUGUUAAGCAUAGUGACACCAAUCCCUUUGAAUGAAGGAGAUUUUUAUUGCUGCUAGCUAGGGAUUGGGGUAGGGGAUAAUAUAUAUAAAUGUAUAAAUCCCCAGAUCCAUCAUUCAUUCAUUCCCUCACUCACGUUUUCUCAAGGUAUCAGAGCGGAGUUUGGGGUAAAUCCCUUUCGAUUUCUGCUAAUUCUCUUCUUGUUGCACUAUGCCCAAGCUUGACGAUAGCAGUGGAGCGCUGUCUGCGGCGGUUGUUGCUAAGGAAACACUCAAGGAUCGAGUGACCCAACUUCAUGGCAAGGUCGACCAUUUGGGCGGACAAGUCUAGAUAGGAUUUCUACCCAGAUUCUUUUAGUUAUUAUUUUGUCCAUAAUCACAUCCGUUAUUAUAUAUUUCAUCCUAAGCAUUUCUAUUAUUUUAACUGUCUGGUCCGAUCGUUUAGCGGCUUUUUCUAAAAGACGGGAAUGUAAAUAGAAAACAUCGCCUGGGAAAGCCUCACGGCCUGGUGGUCGGCGUAACAAUAAUGACAUUUGUCGAUAUGCCACCGCCUGUUUACUAUUAUCAUCAUAGAUUAUUAAUGCGUGUAUUCUAUUAUCGCAGAAAUAUUCCCCCACGGCACACCCAGAAUAUGGGGCCAGAAAUUACAGAGGAGCAGGAUCCGAAGCGGUGGCUGCUACAAGAAUGGAAUAUUCCAAAGCAUUUGCUUCUGAAAGAAUUUGAACUAAUUGUGCCAUAGUUGAGCGUUUCUGUCCAAUCGCUACAUAGACACAAUAUAAUGUCUCACUCUCAGAGGUGGCCCUUGAGUUCAUUUGCUUUUGGUUUAAUAUGGUAUCAAUAGCAAUAGCUGUUUUUCCAGUUUGUCGGUCCCUGAUUAUAAGUUCUCAUUGACCACGGCCUAUAGGCACAUUCGAUUCUUCCCCUCAUUCCUUUUUUCUUGGGCUUGGCUACAUACCAAGCGUGGAUCCAUAAAAUUCCACAAUUUUUAGAAAGUCGCUACUGUUGGCCCCAUUUAGAAUGAGAUCACAACAGAUUUGAUAGAGCCCAUCAAUUUGCUCAAUCAAGGAUAUGAAUCCACUGAGGCAUCCCUAUCUCUUUCCUCAGAAACGGAAUCUAGGGCCAAGGGGAAUGUAUUAGAUUGAGUCUUUUCAGCUUCUAUCGACUGCCCUUCUCUAUGUUGACUGGGGAAGCCUCUCAAUGUGCAAUCUUACUUUGCUUAGCUAGCCCUAUCUUUAUUAUUUUGGCUAAUAAGCAUGAGGUUGGCCGCCUAAUAAUCCUAGAUCUUCCCAUUUUCAAGAAGAUCUCGGGCUCGAUCUGGAAGUAACGUCCAUUUUUUGGUAAUGGGUAUACUCGAAAAAAAGUUUUGAAUUCGACCUCCCCGGGGUCAUAGACUCCUUUUUUGUUUAGGAUCCCCUUUCUACAUUCAAUUAUUUAUUGAACCUGGUGUGGAAUCACUAUCAUUACACAUUUAUUGUUGCUUUCCUUGAUUCGGGCACAGUGUCUUCGACAAAUCGUUGUCUCAGUAUCUGUCUCAUCUCUGGUCCUGUGGGUUAGUAACCUUAGUCCAGUCAAAGGUAGGAGAUUAACAGCCGAUCCCCCAUCUAUCAUGAUUCUUGUUAUCCCCAAUCCAUUAAGGUAUCCUGAAAUGAACAAAGGCCUGUUAUGCUUAAUGAGUCCUGGUUGCAAGUAAUCGUCCGUAAACGUGAUCAAAGCCAAACACUCGACAUAAGUUGGUUCACUACUUCUCAUCUUAACUUGGUUAACUUCAUUAGAAACUCCUCUGGGUUCGUUAAUGCGUAUACUAGGGACAUCCUUAGUUCUGCAGACACCUUCAAUGCAUCGUAUAGGCGGAGGAGUGCAGGAAUCUUUUUGAGAUGAGCUAAUAUGUCAUAGCGAACAUGUUGUCCAUUGGCCGCUAAUGUUUGACCAGCAAGCAUUCGUGAUCUCCCACGUUGGGUAACUUCAAACCGCUAAUGUUGGAUUUGCAUAUCUUAGCACUCCACAAAAUAAUAUAUGUGGCACAAUAAGUAGAUAAUACUUGAUCGGUGUUAGCAAGAAGGAGGCUUGGUUGCAAGAGGGAGCUCUUUGACAUCGUUAGUGAAGCUAGUACCCUAAGUUAACAGCAUAAAAUCCUCCUCACGGAAUUUCGAUUGCCCUAAGGCAAGUAAGUGAAAUCCGCGUUGGGGAAGGGGAGGAAAGGCUACUAAGGCAAGUGGGGAAGAAAAUCAAUAUAAAAUAGAAAGAAUAGGUAUUGCCUUUCCUAUGAAGAUAUUUGGUUGAGGUUAGAAUUUGGUCAUUCUCUUGAAUUGACUUUGCGCUUUCACGGGCGGAUCUGUCAACCAUAUGUUAAUCGUGCGUGUUCUAAACUAGAAGCCGAAUGUCGACUGCUACCUACCGGUUUGGCGGAAGAAAUCGACAUGGGGUAGGAAGCCGGGUAGGAGCACCCAAUGACAUCCGUUACAUGACCACUUCAUUUAGUCGUAUCUGCCGGUAAAGAUGGAAUGUUUACAAAUAACAGAUGGUCAGACAGCGGUAACUGCACUGUGUGACCGAAGGUUACUGGCCCAAUAUGAAGGAAGAUGUUGAAGAUUAUGUGAGUACCUGUUUUACCUGCCUGUAGGACAAGACUGAGAGAUCUCAUCCUGCAGGUCUACUCGAGCCUCUACCAAUCCUUGAGCGACCGUGGGAAAGUCUUUCUUUCUUUGGAUUUCAUUGUGGGAUUGCCAAAAGUGGGGGAGUAUUGAAGCAUCUUGGUUGUUGUGGAUAGAUUCUCAAAAUAAAUAUGCUACAUUCAUUCCUGCUCUAGCCACUUGUUCAGCAGGCUCCGAAAAUGCUGUGAGAAAGAGGAUCUGUUUGUUUAGGAUAUAACUUUUGGUUCAUGAAGAAGCGACCCCUCCGCAUCAAGACAGUCAAUCACUACUCCUAGAACCGGGGGAAGACUAAAUGGGCGAAAAGAAGGCAUUCCGGGGGCGAGUGAAUCAGGCUCCGUGCCAGUCAAUCUAGUUGCUGGUUGAUCCCCCUCAGGGCGAGUUGCUAUCGCUGCUUCCUCUUUCGUUCAAGCGGCAUGAAGCUCAUCUUCAUUGACUGACUCGGAAAUGAGCCCGUCACUCGAGAAGACAGACUGACUGGCAUCGUACAAUAUAGAAGGCUAAUCCCGCUUUGUUAGCCGCUCCUUCAUCUGUUAUUAUUGUUAGUCAUCUCCUUCACUACCUCAGCUAUUUUAUUAUAAGAAAAGUCAGUCAGCUCUCUAUCAUUUAUAAAAAUAUCACUCUAGGAUGAACUAAUCAACAACCGAACGAGACUGAAUCCAAGCGAGUGAAUGAACGAGUCAAGGGUUUGUAAAGAGCAAAGGACUAUCAAAAACACUACCCGGAAUAGGAGUCUUGGCUUAUGAGUUUGAGUUUGAGCAGGAAGAGGCAUAAUAGCCAUCAACCGGAAGCAGUGCAAAAAUUGGAGGAGAGAUUGUCUCAGCAAGUGAUUGGGAUUGCCGACGAGAAAAGAGUUGCCUGACCGUGAGGAAGGCCCUGGACGAGUGAUUGGUCAAACAUUAGAAAAUGGAAUACUUCCCCAUAUUUUUUAUUAAACUUCUUCUUACCUUAUUUUUUACCACUAUUAGCACAGCUUCGAAAAUCGUUAUCUUUUAUUCGCCUAUACCUAUAUGUGAUAAAAAAAUAAAAAAAAAAUGGAAAACUCGAUCGAAGGGAAGGCAACAAUUCAGAGACGAAGAUAAGGCUUGCCAUUCAAGCCUUAGCCUUUUCAAAAGCAGGGGAUUCUACAGAAAGGGACAACAUUCAAAGAAAGAAUAUUUACUGUUGGAAAUCCAAUGCUUUCCCGAUUCCAUGCUUAUGAUUCAAUUCUUCUUGGAGAAACCAAGUCAUUAGACAAGACCUGCCUGCGGAUUCGAUUCCUCCCCCGGCUUCGGCUUAAUUCAAAUAGUUCACAUCACUUUGUGGUGUGGUAUGCGGCGGAGUUAGUGUACCCGGGAGUUAAGUUUUACCAAGUAUGCGAUUCUGGGUGACGACAUUGUCAUCACAGAUCGAUUGGUAGCGGUACAAUACCGAAAACUCAUUGAACAACUUGGUCUAUCUAUAUCUUUAAAUAAAACCUUAUUGUUUGAGUCAGGUACCUGUGAGUUCGCUAAGCCUUUUAUUCUUAGCUCGGGGGAGAAAGGCGGGAAUUCCCCCUAGUAAGAGUAGUAGUCUUGGGCAGAGAACAGCCCUUUGUUAUCUCGGCAUCUAUUACUAUUCUUUUUAAGUAAAGAAGGUAAAGGCGUUCUUUCGCUUUCCUGGCGUAUGUUGUCUUUUCGGAGCUAGCAGCGAUGAUAGUCAUUAUAUCAUCCCUUAUUCGUUAUCAAUUAUGGAAUUUGAAGAGGAAAAUCCUACUCACGACAGAGCGGAAGACUUGUAGCGAGUAAGGAGAGAGAGAGGAAGAGAGGGUAGGACGUAGUUCCUGGGAUUGCUUUUGUGUGGGAUGGUCAGAUUACUCUGCAACUCGAUUCUACCCCUGUCUUUGCUUUGGAAAGGUUCUUCAAUGUUAGAUUCCCUUUUUCUUUUUGGAAGAUAUGGUUGCUUCCAAGGCCACCUUCCGCUUGUUAAUAGUAGACUAAUGGGAGAGAGCCGUAGAUGAAAGCCUCUUCCUUAGCGGCGUCCUUCUGCUUCCGCUUCUUAUUCUUAAUCUGUAUAGCUGCUUUGGAGUGACAUUAGGCACGUAAGGAUAUGACUGCCAGUCCAGUUUUGGCCAUUUCUAUGUAUCCAGCCCUGAAGAAAGUCGAUAUGUGGAUGAUUUUCAAUCAAAGAGGGAAGAAAUUUAUCUUAGGCCACGGGAACGAGAUAGAAGAAGAGCUGCUUUAACGGCCCGCUAAGGAAGAAGAAAUUGGCUUUCUUCAUUUUAAGAUAAAGAUUGCAUUUCACUUUCACUUUCUAUAUCCAUUUUGAAUGGGUAAAAAAAAAAGCAAGAGCUUAUCAUCACCAGCAGAAAGAGACAGAGACCUUUUCUCUUUCGAAAAGGGACUGAGAUGCACCCUUCGUGCCUCAUACCCCUGAGGAAGGGAAGUUCGUUACUUGCUUGAAAGGAAGCAGUACUCUCGAGUGGGUACCUCUUGAAAAGGGCAGUCAAAAGGAUAGACUGAAUUCAAAUAAGCCUUCACUUUCAAUCCGUUGAAAUGUAUGGGUUAGGAUGACCAGCUUUCGUACAAGAGUUUACCUAGAAAAAACCUGACUGUGAGACCGACUCGGCAAAGAGAGAGGAAAGUCAACCAAGUGUUCAAUCUAUUAAAUAGACUAUUUUUCUUUCAUUAAAGUUUACAGAUAAGUAAGAUAUUGAAAGGGGCAGAACGCUUUCUAAGCUAGAUUUUCUCCUUACGUCCUUCGGGGUGUGGAGAGGAUAAAUCUCCACAUCUUUUGCGAUUGGAAAGUGUAUUGGAAUCAGAUUGAAAAUCUCAGUAGGGCGACUCCUAAUACGAUUCUACCGGGAUCAGGAGAAUCAAAUCACAUAAAAAGAAGAUGAAAUAGCUGCUUAUUCUCUUCUCUUGCAGGGGCUGUCGUUUCGGGAUUAAUAGAUACCUGCAAGACCCCUAUUCUCUAUUUUAUUAGUCUCUUUAUUUCCAACUCUUUUCCACAUCCUUAAUAAGGCACCGAGCUACGAGGCUCAAACAUUGAACACAACUAGACAGCACUAAUGCCGGUGGUGGUAGGAUAGAAAGUAGACCGAGACGACAGAGCGGAAGACUUGUAGCGAGUAAGGAGAGAGAGAGGAAGAGAGGGUAGGACGGAGCGCAGAUGUACAAUAAAAAUGGUCGUCCCGGUACAGGGGCCGCUAAUACCGGCGGCUGAGUCAGGUAUUCUUUUAUGCUUUUGAAUGCAUCUUGGCAUGCUUGGUCUCAGACAAACGCUCCACCCCUUUUUUCAUUAGACGAGAAAAGGGUUGGAACUUGCCUUAUAUAUUGGCGAUAAACCUGAUUAUAUAGGCCAACCGUCCUUGGAUGGAAGCCUCUCAAUUCCUUGAUAUUGGUAGGAGACGGCAUCCCCAGUAUGUAACAGCAACAACAACAAGACUUGUAAGCCUAUUAUGUAAAUUAUGUAUAUCAGUAAAGAUUUUGAGAAAGAAAGGGAAGCAGUUGGGUUGGGAGAACCAGGAUAUGUCGAUUUAGAAUAAGCCGAUGCAUAUGGUAACGAAAGGUGAAUGGAAUAAAAACCUCGAGUUACUGCAGGUACACCACUUUUUGCCUAGGAGUGAUUCCUUCUCGGGGGAACCCUCUUUCUAAGUCGAGUGACUGGAGACUACAUUCUCGCUGUAAAAACUACAUUCUUGCUUAUGGCAUCUUCCCUAUCCGUCGCCUUCACUUGAAGACGAAAGAUCAAAUUCGAUUCAAAGAUCGGAAUCAUACCUCCAGCAGGCAAGGUCGGCUCAAGAAGUGGAAGUUGUGAGAUGGAAAGAAGACCAAAAAAAAAACAGAAUCAGGGAUCAAUCCAUACGCGGCUUACCUUUGACUACGCAUUGUCAGUCCUUUGAGAGACAUAAAGACCUACCGACAAGGUCUCCUUUCCUUUGUCUACUACAUCUUCCCCUUUGGUCUAUCCGCUUUGUCUAGGAGAUGGCAUCGAAAAGGAGAAGGCAAAGGGACUAAGAAAGAGUGUCUCGAGAAGGGGCUUUGAGGGACGACUGAUUGACCUUCGACGCAGGAAGCAUCGAAUUGCAUUAGUGGGAUAGCUUACUUAAAUACUCCCCCAAGCCAAGAAAGCUAGUGCUCAUGAAUGCGCUCCUUACAUGCAUAUUCUAGUACCAGUCCUUACGCCGAGAGAAGACUUCCUCACCGGUGUCCUAUUUUCCGCCGGUUCAGUUUACUUUAGAAAGCUCAUUUCCCCGUUCAUCCAACCGGAAAGUAACAAAAAGCACUUUUUCUACUCCCAUAAAGACCGCGCCCUUCUUUAUCAUCAUCAACCGCCCUCCUCUGUGCUUGGCGACAUUACUCCAUAUCAGUGCCUGUUUGGAUCGCCACCAUAGAUGAAGGAAGGAUUGCAUCGCUUUGACCAGACAAAGCAACCUCGAAUCUCUCAAUCAAAAGCUGUAGAUAGACUGACUAGCCCCACUGGUAGUCCAAUUCCAUCCACUAUCUCCCUCUCUUGAUAAAGAAAAUUUGUAUUUGAGAAAAUUUGAAAAUUGUACAGCGUGGUGGCACCAUCUAUCCAUGAGGAGGAGGUGUAACAGUAGACUACCUCCGCAGUAUGGUCAGUCACUCAUGAAUUCCUUCUCACUCGAAUCACUACUAGAAUAUUUCAUAUAGAAAGAGAAACUUGAGGAAAUUGGAAAUGUUAGAAGGCCUUUUCUUUCCGCUUACUUUAGUAGUGCCUUGCAUCUAUGCUUGGGCAGCAAAAGAAGAGUUAGAGCGGGCGACAGGGGAUUCUCAAAUAGAAGAUGUGCGCCAUGCCAUUUAUUAUUUAAUACUGUAUUAUGCUAGCUCUACUCUUGCUCGUCAGUAGAAGAUAUCCACAGUAAGGGCUAUUCCAAUUUCAAGGAAGGCGGAAAAUCCUUCUCUAUUUUACGAUCUGAUUUCGUCUGUUUAAAAUCGUCUUAAAUCAGACUUUUCCCUCACAGCUCCUUCUGGGCAUCUACGUCUGUCCUCGGCACCUUAAUAGCUUAUUCAAACAAAAAACAAAAGGCAAUGUAAUUGAUUGAGGCAUACUUCUAUGAAAAGGAAUUGAUAGAGGAAAAUGAAUGUGCAAGACAGCUAAUCAACUACUACUUUGCACGGGAACUAAGAGGGCCCAUUUAAAAUGAAAGGAAUAAAAGGUAAUCGCACAAUAUCGGGUAAAUCUCGCAUCAUAACGGGUAUGAGCUCCUGAUUAUAUUGAAUCUUUCUAUCAAUUCUAAGAUAUAGAAACCUCGACCGAAAGCAGCUCUUCCACUCAUCUCAUUAGCAAUCAAACCUCUUCCCUGCAAGAAGGCAGAUGCCUUAUCAUCCCUAUACCCUAUAUUUUACUAUAUCUUAUAACCAUAUGUAUAUCAUAUGAAUAUUAACAUAUUCAAUAUACGCAAUUCUCAGAUCUGUCUUUUCCGGCCGAUUCCAUGCCACUCUAUUUUGGACCCUCUUGCAAGAGCUCGAACUAAGUCUAGUUUAGGUUCAUCCGAGGGUUUGGACGUCACUUCUUCACUUUUCUACUUUUUUUUGGAUGGGUGCUCUCCCUUGAGUGAAGGCAUAAGCCGUAGACAGUCACUAGUUUGAUCGCUAUGCCAUUCUCGGCAACGAUGUUAAAGUGAGGGUAGUCAUGAGGCUAAUUGGUAGUUAUGCUUACAAAAGAUCAAGAAAAAAGCAUUGAAACUUCCACGAUUAAGCCAUAGGGGACUACUUUCAAUACAGAAUUUCCGAAAGAAUCUCAAUUGGAAAACUGUUAUCAAAGCGGGGAUUUUUCCUUGUAAAGGGUCCUCACGUAAGACUUUCAUCUUCAACUUCAUGAUCGGGUGUACUAUAUGGACUAGACGGCCUAUGGGAUAUACUUUCAAGCCGAGGCAUUCCGAACUCAUGGGGCAACUUUUACAUCGAUCGUGAAAGAAGAAGGCUCGAAAAAAGAAAAGAGACUUCAACCCUUAGCUUCUGCUAUGAUGUAACGUGCAGUCGUCCCGAGGCAACAGGAUGUAUGGUGUAGGGCCCCCUAUUUUCUCUCCCUUAAAGUCCUUUAUAGAUUUCGAGUCGGGAAUAGAGCAGUGGCUUAUUCGGUGCUAUAUCACAUCACAAUUCAUUCAUUCUCGGGCAUAGCAGUUCACGAAACGUGGCAUGGGACAUCUGUCGGCGGCGGGAGUCAACCAUCCAAGCGAGAGGUCAGACCAAUAAUCCCAUUCACCCUGGUCCAAUCCGAACGGAUCUUGUUGAAUGAAUUGAUCCAUUGUUGUAUGCCUUACUUCUUAGUGCAUUUUUUCCUACUCGUUAAAAUAUACACUGAUUACUAAAAGAUAGUCAAUCGUUAAAAUAUAAUUCAGUGUUUUGACAAUUUUAAUAACGCUUUCUAAAUCUAUGAUAUAAUAACGAAUCGGGUAUUACCGGCCGAUGGCGAAUAAGUCCUCACAACAAAGGUUAGGUGCUUGAGAUCAUAACUGCUUACAGCAGCGCUCCUGGCGCGAGACUCUUUUGCCUAGAAUGAAUUCGGUAAGGAAAGGAAGGGUAGAGCCUCAUGGUCAAUUGAAUAAGCACUUCCCUUAGAAUUAUUGAAUUCGAAAUAAGAGGCUUUGCCUCGGUCUUUAUUGCGCACUAGUCGGGCAGUGUGAAUGAGAAAGUGUUAAGUGAAUUUUUAUGGAAUAGAUGAUUUGCCGCAUCGUUGAAUAGCAACACCUUUCUUAUUUCAACAAACUACUAAUUAAGUAAGAGAGAGAAGAGAGAGCUUUCGCGGCUCAGAGAAACAUAAGGCCAAGAUGGGUGAUGAAAGGAGUCUUUCUGCCUUUCUUUUCUAACUACGCUCCUUUCUUCAAAAGCCCAAUCUCUAUAUCUUUAUCACACGAACUAGCUUCUUGCCCACUCCGGAGCCUUGAGUGCAAAAUACGCGAGGUACUAUGGGUGGGGUUCGACGGAGCCUAUUUAGUUUUCCAAGACCAAGACAUAGUCAUGGAGCAUAUAUGAUAGGUCACUACGCACAUCUAUCAUUUCGACUACUUCUCCUACCUGUCUGUUACAAUACAAAUAAAUUCCAGAUCCUGUGAAAGAUUUAGAAAGCACGGACCUCUCCUGGUAGAGGCUUGACGCAUCCCACAUCGCUAUCCAAGGAAUCCCCUGGAGCUUCAACUAGCUGACGCAUCAUCUACAACAUCAGCAAGAGGAGCUGAACACUGUGCUUUCGUGUUAUAUUCACGAACGACCUUUCGGUUCGCCAUAAAAGGAAAAGGAUACCCAUAUGAACCUACCAUUAAUGACUAGUUUGAAGAAGAGGAGUUUGUUUGAUCUCUUAUUUGAUUAGACAGACCCACUCUUAGAAGAAAGUCGGAUAAUUCUUUACCUACACUUGCGAAACACUUACUUAUUCAAGAGCUGCUCGAAAGUAAGAUUCUCGCUUCGUGCUAUUCCGCCAUCUCCGCUUCUGAAAGGAUAUUAACAUAUGGAAUAACUUGAUUAUAUUACAUUAACAAUUAUUAUAUUCAAUAAUACUGUUAUCUCCUUUUGGUGCUCCUAGAGCAAAGCCCCGAGAACUAGGUUCGAUUUCUUUAUGUGCCCAGAUAAAGGGUAUAAUUAUGGCUUACCAAUCUCGAUGAAGAAAGACCCUCCAUUUCGUUUGAGGAGAUAAUGAUUUGUUAGGGCUAAAGAGAAAGUCUUUGGAACCAAAGUCAGUUGAUGCCGAGAAUAAAGAUGUAGUCUUUCCUUAUACUUAUAAAAGGCUAUAAGCUCUAAGUAGUAAGGCUACGUUUCGUAAGGCCGAGAAGAAUCUAUUUUUUAGUUUCCGUUCUAAGGCUCAAGACUAAUAAAUUAAACUAUAACAAUUCUUUUGCUUUUUCUUCACUUCCUGGCUUUCGAAGAGAUGGAACCUCUCGACCCCUUUAUUCGCCUCAUCCCUUCUUAUUCCGAGGAGAUAGAACGGGGUAGUGACAUAUGACUGAUCAUGAUCAUCUUGCUGCGCCUUUUCUUAUUUAUAGUAAUAGUCGCUAGGCGUUCUAGGCCGAAUCUGAUGUUAUGAAAAGGGCAAGCUCAAGCCUUAAGUUAAAGGGAAGCUUCUUACAUACUUAUUUAGCUAGGCUUCCUCUUAUACUGCUAAUCCUCACGAACAAGCAGUCCCACUACGCACUAACUAUCAAUUUCAUAAGAGAAGACAGAUCGUAAGGAGAUUUUCGAUGAGUUAGCACUACCUCGAUAUGACAGAAUAAGAGUAAGAAAGUAGAAAAGUAUUCCUCCGAAAAUAGAACUAGUAGCGGAGUGAAGUAGAAAAGACUUUCUGCGGAAAGAGCGUAAUAGUACCGGCAUAAGAAGUUAGAAAGGUCUCUUUGUAGAAUACUUUACAGAAGAAUCUUACUCAUCCUCAAAAGUUCGGUUAGUAGUUUCAGAGGCAUCGAGUUCAAAAUCAAAGGCUGAUUACCGUGGAAAGGGACUUUCAAAGGCUAUCUAUUACCUAUCCCCCAUUUUACCAGCAAACCAGUGUUCAAGGAGAUAGUAAUCCCACGCCUAAAGGAAGCAAGGUGAGGAUAGAAGAAGCCAACCUGCCAACAAGCUCUUCUGAGUUCUAGAGCUAGAGUAAGGUAUGUAUGCUUAGGUAGUAAUUCCCCUUUUUCUAGAGCAAGAGUUGGGAAAAUCACUCAUGAUAGAGUCAGUCAGUUCGUCAUGCUAUUUUAACCCCGGUGCUAGAAUAGAUAGAGAUAGAGUUAGUAAGCCAAUUAGUCUAUCCGUCUGCAAGAAAGCUUCGGAAUGAAUCUAAUGGUAAUGUCGGUCUAUGCCCACUUGUAAGAAAGGAUCACUACUUAGGUAGCUGACCAAAAUCCAAAGGUAGGUGAUUUCGGGAUGGCCUUUGAGUCGAGUCUGAUUAAAGGGACGACUCUUAUUAUUCGUGCCUAGGAUUCAGAAAAAUCCUUGUUUCGGCUGUAUCAUUGAGCAUAUGAUUCCUCCAAGCGCUUCGUGGCCCAACUGAAAGGGAAGAUCAUUGGGAAGAAAUGGGGGCCGUUGACCAAGUCGAUGGCUUUGUUAAAAGGUUUUUCCUGGAUAACUUCAGUCUGCUGGUACGUAGGAGAGUCCGGUAAAGGGCUAAGGAGCAAGGGGCACUCUCAUUCUAACCUUUGCAUGGCGCCACCAUAAAGCGAUAGCGAGACCUGAGUCGAACUAGGGCAUUUGUACUGGUCGUGCUAGGUUGAGCCGGGGUUGGUAAGGAAAAUGAAUCCGGACCAGGCAGGCUUAUACCAUUACGCUCACGAGCAGAAUCUUAGCUUGAGCCUACCUUCGCACACCUCCGUUACUCUUUAGGAGGCAUCCGCCCCAGAUAAACUACCCACCUCGUAGUGUCCCGCCCCCCCUAAAUUCUCGGUGCGGCGGUUAGGCAUCCUUAGACGAAAGAGUGGUCUUUCAGGAUUGGACGUUGUGUGUCACCACCUCCCACCUAUCCUACACAUUCGAUCAAUGUUGUCACUGCGAAGCUAUAGUUUUUUUAAUCAGCUUACUAUCAAUAAACCAUGUGUUAGGUUCUCGUUGCGGGAGAUCUUGGAACGUGCCUGUCGUGUGAAUGCGCAUACAAAUAGGGUCACUAUUCGCCUACUACUAAACUCAUAAGAAAUCCAUUUAGAACACAUAAAAAUCAGUAAAGCAAAGGGAGAGCUCAUGCUUUGAGUUUGCUGACUUGAUCAAUCGAAAAGGCCUGACACUUCGACAGUAACUCACUACCCUUUCAGAUAGAGAGAUCCUUUAUCUAGGCCAACAUUUGUAUCAGUAGCUGAGUCAAUCGAAAGAAGGGCUUCUGAAUUAGCUGAGGAAACCGCCCAGUAAUUCCUCUACAUCAAGAGCGAGCUCUGUCUUAAGGAAUUUGAUGUCAACACUUAACUUAGAUAGAGAUCUUGCUGUAAACACAAGAAGUACACGAAAAAUUUUGAGUUGGGGUACCAAAGAAGAAGGAAGAUUGACCAUCCAAACUCUAACGAUUCAGUGGUAAACCCCCUUAGAUGCUUUUCAUACUGAGGUCGAGGUUGUGGGCUCCCCUGUGUGUGGUCAAAUGGUUUGUGACGGUCUUCUGGAGCUGGCAAU
rnacentral:lncRNA from 1 species